rnacentral:rRNA from 1 species
CAGGCCUAACACAUGCAAGUCGAGCGGGCGUAGCAAUACGUCAGCGGCAGACGGGUGAGUAACGCGUGGGAACAUACCUCUUGGUUCGGAACAACACAGGGAAACUUGUGCUAAUACCGGAUAAGCCCUUACGGGGAAAGAUUUAUCGCCGAGAGAUUGGCCCGCGUCUGAUUAGCUAGUUGGUGAGGUAACGGCCCACCAAGGCGACGAUCAGUAGCUGGUCUGAGAGGAUGAUCAGCCACAUUGGGACUGAGACACGGCCCAAACUCCUACGGGAGGCAGCAGUGGGGAAUAUUGGACAAUGGGCGCAAGCCUGAUCCAGCCAUGCCGCGUGAGUGAUGAAGGCCCUAGGGUUGUAAAGCUCUUUUGUGCGGGAAGAUAAUGACGGUACCGCAAGAAUAAGCCCCGGCUAACUUCGUGCCAGCAGCCGCGGUAAUACA